rnacentral:rRNA from 1 species
AUGCAGUUCGUUUCCCCCACCCCCACCCAAACCGCGACGGCUGUGCCUGUGCGCCCAUCGUUGCGUGCCGUCCCGCGCUCGCUCGCUUCGGCGGAAAGGCUUCGGAUGGGCCGUGCAGCGACAUGCACCACGGCACUCCGCGCGCAGUGCGGUGGCCGGGCGGAACCGGUGGAGGCGCGCAAGGACGGCGAGCCCGUGUCUCACGAGCGGGUCCAAGAGGAGGACGAGGUGGAGCAGCUGGAGUUGCUGGAGGACGAGGCCAUGGCCGGGGAAGACGAGGGCCGUAGCCCCACGGACUACGGCCGCCGCGCGCACAUCUUCGAGGAGAGCUCCCGGGUGUUCCGGGCCCUCAAGGAGCGCCGUGACGGGGACGGCGGUGCCAAGCCCGGUGCUGCCGCGACGCGCCACGGCUGA